UUACUUACCUGAAAGACAUUGCAUGAUCACAAAGAUGGUUUCCCAAGGGUGAGGGCUACUUAUUGCAUUCGAGAUGUGCUAACUCCUGAAUUUUUUCCAAAUGUGGAAAACUCUACUGUGUAAUAUAUGGUAGUGGGGGACUGUGCUCACCUUCUCCCCUA